CAAAAUUUCUGUUGGUAGUUCAUUUCAUGGUAAAAUUGCUUAACACCCAAUGAAUCCAAAGCAGUCAUAUUUUUGUGCAAAAAUUAAAAAUAAAAGUCAUCAAGACUGCAUUAAAAUUUUUUUUACAAUAGCCUCAUAAUAAUUAAUCAAAAAAGGAUAGUAGAAUAAUAUCCUGUAAGAAAUAUCCUGUAAGUAAAUUACAUCAAGCCUUAAUUGCUUUAAAAUUUUACUUUAAAAAUUCUUUUUCAUUUAUAAUGCUGAUAAGGCACCCAUGAAAAAUCUUAUGGUGUCAAGAUAAGCCAAAGGAAAAUCAUUUGGACAAAAAUCAAAAGGAUCCCAAGUCUAAAUUAUAGAAAAGAGUUCUUUAUUAACCUUUGGUCGAGAAUAUGUGUAUAUUUCCAGAAAACUCCAAAGCCCAUAUGGAUUCCUGCAACAACGGAUCCCAGAGAGGACCUGAUAGGACUACUGCAGCCACAGAAUAAGCAGUGGCCCACAAGAACAGAGGAGAAAUAGUCCAAAAAUAAAAAUAGUGAAGAUGCCUUGCCAUGCUAGCAGUCAGCACCUGUGCAUUGCUGCAGGUUGACCAGGACCAAGGGCAAGGAAGAUGGAUCCAGUUCUAGAAAGGCUAGAGGUACUGCAGCAGGGAAACAAGAUCCUUCAAACUUCUUAUAUGUUUCAGUAGAAAUACAAGCUCUUAUUUAUGCCUUAACAGAUUUUGCUACGGAGCCCAUCAACCUAUAGUAAUAGUGCUUAUGUGGUAAGUAUGGCCAAAAUUAUUGUAAUAGCUAUUAUAGGGCACACUAAUUCAGAGGAACUUCUCAUUUAAUUUUCAGCCUUUAAAAUGUUAUAAGGACAAUUUCCAUGUUUUAUUGGAUGCAAUGUCCUCAGGCUAUUAUCCACUUCUCUGUGCCAACUUUAGGGGUAAAUCCCCGAGGACUUAAACCUAAUCAAAACUGACAUAAUGGAUGUCACUCAAUAGUGGAAAGAGCCAAUCGUACUCUUAAAAUUAUUUAUUAAAACAAAAAGGGGGAGACAGAUGUUAUGUGUCACUUCAAGAGAGGCUCAGUCAUGCUUUUUAUACUUAAAAAAUUUUUUUUUGAAUUGUGAUGCAGAGGUUGUACAGCAGUCAAAAGGCAUCAGGCCUCCUGUACAGUAGCCUCCGAGUCAGCUAGGUGGAAGGAAGCACAAACCAGACAAGAGUUUUAUCAGAUUCAGUAAUAAUGUGGGGAAGAGGUUGUGUUUUAUAUCUUUCCAGAAGGAGCAAUGCAGCCAAUUCGGGUGCCAGAGCGUUACAUCCAUCACCACAAUGGACCCAGAGAAGCUCCUGUGUCCCUUCACUCAAAAGGACUGAGAGCUGCCCUGAUGACAGCAAAGCAGAGGAAGAAGAAAAAUGAAAGCUACGCAAGGGACUGAGGUGCCAACAUGGGGUCAGCUGAAGAAGUUAACAACUAAGGCCCAGCAGAUGGCAGAAAAGCAGGAAGUGGAAGCUACUGCCUCAAUCAUGCUAGCAUUGGUUAGCUGCCAGUCUUCUGCAAACUCUUGCACAGCCAAGUCUGAGGACUCUGGAAUAAAUCAGCAAAAGAAACUUUCAUUUAGUAGGAAAAUGUUACUGUAGUUUGAUUUCUUUAUUGUUGUGUUGCAUUGGCAUUGUUUUAUAGCCAUGUCUGGGUUUUUCAUUUGCAUUGUUUUGUUAUUGGGUUUUGCAUUGGCAUUGUUUUAUUAAUGUUUUAAUAGAAAUUUGUUCUUGAUGUUUAAAUUUUACUUCCAUUAUUAGUAGCUUAAAUUUAAAAGAAAGGGUGAGAUGUAGGAAGCGAUUAUAGGGUUAAGCCUCGGACUGACCUGCUGGCAAAGUCGCAAACAAGUCCCAGCUUGGAGGGCUCAGUCCUCUAAGCAUAAUUAAGCUUGAUCUUGUGACUGCUCUCUAGAUCUUUCCUGGGUAGCUAGUGGGCUGUGGGAGGGGCAGCAAGUGCUGCCAAAACAAGUGAAACUUACAACAACAUUGUAGAUUACCUUGUUUGUCCCUGAUGAUAAAUAAAGCACCAGCUUUGCAGUCUGGAUCUGUUCUGUGGCCUCAGCAAGGCACAGAAAGAUCCACCCAGCUCCCAGCUUUAUGAAUCUA